rnacentral:rRNA from 1 species
UACGUAGGGGGCAAGCGUUGUCCGGAUUUAUUGGGCGUAAAGAGCGUGUAGGCGGCCAGGUAGGUCUGCUGUGAAAACUCGAGGCUUAACCUCGAGCUGUCGGCGGAAACCAUCUGGCUAGAGUCCGGAAGAGGAGAAUGGAAUUCCCGGUGUAGCGGUGAAAUGCGUAGAUAUCUGGAGGAAUACCGGUGGCGAAGGCGGCAUCCUGGACCGAAACUGACGCUGAGGCGCGAAAGCUAGGGGAGCAAACGGG